UGAAGUCUAUGAUGGGUGUGCUGUGUUUGAAGACUAUUCUGUUGUGGUUGAUGUUAUGGAAGUUGUUCCCCCUUGUUGUUUGGAAGCUGAAUUUUUUAUUGUUUUUUGUUUAAUUGUGUAAUUUGUGGCAGUCCUCAUUGAUGCCUGUUUGUAAUAUUUUGGGCUCUUAAUGAGUUCCAUGGAUUUGUUCAUUAUCUCAGCUAUCACAGUUGUGUAUAAUGUUGGUUUG
rnacentral:lncRNA from 1 species